AACGAACGCUGGCGGCAUGCCUAACACAUGCAAGUCGAACGAGACCUUCGGGUCUAGUGGCGCACGGGUGCGUAACGCGUGGGAACCUGCCCUUAGGUUCGGAAUAACUCCCCGAAAGGGGUGCUAAUACCGGAUAAUGUCUUCGGACCAAAGAUUUAUCGCCUUUGGAUGGGCCCGCGUUGGAUUAGCGAGUUGGUAGGGUAAAAGCCUACCAAGGCGACGAUCCAUAGCUGGUCUGAGAGGAUGAUCAGCCGCACUGGGACUGAGACACAGCCCAGACUGCGACGCAGCGCAGCAGUAGAGAGUACUGUACGAUGAGCGAAGACCUAAUCCAGCAAUGCCGCGUAAGUGAGGAAGGCGUUAGGGUUGUAAAUCUCUCUGACCCGAAAUGAGAGUGACGGUACCGGGAAAAUAAGCACCGGCUAACUCCGUG
rnacentral:rRNA from 1 species